GCAAGGGCAAGCUGACUAGGGACCGUCCACCAAGAGGCACGCUGGCACAAGCCCAUCAGCCUUCAAGUACGGACAAGAAAAUGACUCAAAUGGGUUUCUGGAUGCAGAGGGCAGGAUUAGAUGACCUUCCCAUGGCAGGCCUGUGGGGUCUACAGUCUCGCCUGGGAUGAAGUGGAGCACAGAAAAUGAGGGAGAGAGGAAUGAGCAGAGGCGGAGAGCCAGGUAGGCCAUGCAGAGACCAC
rnacentral:lncRNA from 1 species